AGCAGGAGGACUGUUUCUCAGAUUCUGCUUCUCUUUGGGACUUGGCAUCAACGCUUGGCUCCAAGGACCCAUUAAAAUGCUAAUGAAGGAAUAUGAAAAAGGUAUAACCGCACAACAUGAAGAGAAUUGAGGAUCAGGAAUCAGUGGACUGUGGGAGAAGGAAGCCCGAAGGUGAUAAGGUCCUGUCUGAAGGAGCUAAUGCACACCCAGGGAGCAGCCCAGCUCUGGUCAAUGAAAUAAAAUGUCCAGAGCUGUCCUCUUUAUGUUUUAUAUGGCAACACACUUUUAUGUGUGAUUAAGAAACAAAACAACAAAGGGAGGAAUGUACUGAGCUUAUCAAAGUACAAUAGUUGCUGCUUCACCAGAAAAACUAGUGCUUUCAUUCUAUUUCUGGCGCUGUUAGGCUGACCCUGGGGAACCAAAGACGCUUUGCUCUCAAAUAAAGAUUAACACUUAACAGCUGUAGUCAGCUCAUGGCAAAACUGUGAAAUAGGCAAAAUUUGUCAUUAGGACUUUUCCUUCAUCCCUUGCUGGGUAUUUCUUCUUACU